GGGAGACACUAAAUUACUUAGAAAUUUGAAGCACACUCCCUCAAAAAACCACAAGUAUAAAUAAAAAUAGGUCUUAGAAAAUUAAAAAUAAAAAUAAAACAAUCAAGUACUUGUUGGCAAGACAACCAAUUCAUUCACAACAUAAGAGACAACCCUGUUGAUGAAAUUUCCACCACCAGCCAUGUUUGUGUCUCAGCUUCAAACUGGAAAUGAUUCAAAUAUCAUAAAAAUAAAAAGCAAAACCCUUAAAUGUUGAAGACCAAAAAUUCAAACUUUUCAUAGAGUUAUCGCUAUUCCCUAAAUUUAAUUCCUUAGUUCUUUUAUCAUCCAACGUUUUUUCCGGGAAAAGUUCAAACAGAAGAUAAACAAAAUUAGGGUUUCACAAUAGAAAUCCAUAGCCGAAAAAAAAAAUUGGAUAAGAAUCACAAACCUUAAUUAGAAGAAGGAUUGGAGUGA
rnacentral:lncRNA from 1 species